rnacentral:rRNA from 1 species
AGUGAACGCUGGCGGUAGGCCUAACACAUGCAAGUCGAACGGCAGCACAGGAGAGCUUGCUCUCUGGGUGGCGAGUGGCGGACGGGUGAGGAAUACAUCGGAAUCUACUCUGUCGUGGGGGAUAACGUAGGGAAACUUACGCUAAUACCGCAUACGAUCUACGGGUGAAAGCAGGGGACCUUCGGGCCUUGCGCGAUUGAAUGAGCCGAUGUCGGAUUAGCUGGUUGGCGGGGUAAAGGCCCACCAAGGCGACGAUCCGUAGCUGGUCUGAGAGGAUGAUCAGCCACACUGGAACUGAGACACGGUCCAGACUCCUACGGGAGGCAGCAGUGGGGAAUAUUGGACAAUGGGCGCAAGCCUGAUCCAGCCAUACCGCGUGGGUGAAGAAGGCCUUCGGGUUGUAAAGCCCUUUUGUUGGGAAAGAAAUCCAGCUGGCUAAUACCCGGUUGGGAUGACGGUACCCAAAGAAUAAGCACCGGCUAACUUCGUGCCAGCCGCCGCAGUAA